AUCCUGCUGACGAGUCCCAAAUAAGAUGGAACUUGCGUCCUGGAU
rfam:Schistosoma curassoni strain Dakar, Senegal genome assembly, scaffold: SCTD_scaffold0009814